rnacentral:misc_RNA from 1 species
GUGAGUCAUCGAAUCUUUGAACGCACAUUGCGCCCGCCAGCAUUCUGGCGGGCAUGCCUGUUCGAGCGUCAUUUCAACCCUCAGGCCCUGCCUGGUGUUGGAGGACUGCGCAUGCAGCCUCCCAAAGCAAGCGGCGGCGGCGCCCCAUAACCGAACGCAGUAGUAACCUCUCGUUCUGGGUCUGGGUCGUUGUCCUGCCGGAAAACCCCUUCUUUUUAAUGGUUGACCUCGAAUCAGGUAGGAAUACCCGCUGAACUUAAGCAUAUCAAUAAGCGGAGGA